UUCUCGUUUCUAUUUCUUCUUCUGCUCCUCCAUGUUCUUCCUCUUUCCUUUCUAAUAAUCUUAAUUCAAGGAUUGAGUUUGAUCUUAGUCGAGUGGAUCUUAGUCAGCGUAGUAUGUAGAUGAUACGAGAGUAAAGAUGGAAGUAUUGGAAGUUGAUUUAGCGCUGGAAGAUGAAGUAAAGAUGAAUUAAAUUAGAGGUAUAAAGUUAAUUUAGGUUCUGAAGUUCAAGAGAUGAAAUUAGAGCUACGGCUGGAUGAAGAAUCAUGGGUAUUGGUUCAAUUGAGGAUCUGAAGUUGUUUUAGAGAAGAGUCAUGGAAUUAUGGUUUCAUAGGAGUUGCAGAAUAGAGUGAGAAGAUGAAAUGGAUGGGUAAUUGAGUUUCUGAUAGUCAAAGAAUGAAGGGGUUAUCGUUUAAUUGAUGAUGUGAAUCCGUGUUGUUGAUGAAUCAGGAAGUUAGGGUUUGGUUCUGUUUUAAUGAAGGUUUGGGAAUUGAAUUAGAUUUUGAUUGAAAACUAGUGUUGCUGAUGAAGGCCAGGGAUCGAUUAAUCAGUAAGAAUAUGUUGAAGCUAUUGUUGGUGUUGAUUCAAGACUCGGAAGGAAAGGGGGAUGAGAUGUAUAUAUGUGAUGGUUCUCUACGAUGAAUUGGUGGUGUUAUGGAGUGUUUGUGGUUUUGUGUUGGUGAAUGGUUUGAGUGUUUGAGUGGCUCGAGUCUGAGAUAUUUAUUUGGUAGUGUGAUUAUGAAUGAUAUAAGAAAUGUAGGUGAAGGUUGUUCUGAUUCACAGGGAGUCGUGUUGAAUUAGAUGAAAUGGGUAUUGGGAUUUGGAUGUCGUGGAGUUAUUUGACAGUGCAGUUGAGAAUGGAAUGUGUUUAGCAUUGGAGAUGAAUUGUGGUUGCAGAUGGAGUCGAGUUCCAUAGUGGUGUUUUGUAGCUACUGAUGUUGAUUUCAUGGAAUUAUAGUGAACUGAAUAAGGAAUUGUGUUACAGAGAACUGUUGGUGUUGCAAUGAAGAACACGAGAUGAUGUUUGGGUUAAAGGUAAAUGAUGGAAGUGGUGAGGUAAUUAGGAAUGGUGGUUGUAUAUGGUUGUAUUAGAGUUAGUGGUGCAAGUAGUGGUCAUGCGUGCUGGGAAGAACUGGGAAUUGUUAUGUUGCAGUGGCAGGAGAAGGAUUGCAUUUAUGUGCAAUUGUAGGGGGAUUGUUUGUAAUGGAGAUAAUAUUGUUGGUGGUGAUUCAUGUGGAGUGUUGAAGUAUUGAACUGAAGCUAAAAUUGUUACAGGAUUGAAGGUGGUAGUGAAGUUGAAUGCCAGAAGUUGGUUUGUAGUUGGACUGAACUUGCAGUUAUAGGGGUAUAGUCGUGUGUUUGAGAGUUGAAAGUAAUCUGAAUUGAUAGUGAUUGUAGAAUUGCAAUUAGUGUUGCUGUGAAAAGUUUAAAUCUGCAGUUGCAGGUAAUUAGAGUUUAUAAUUGUAAUAAAAAUUUGAAUUAUAAUUUGAAUGAAUUAAUUGGUGUAAUGUAUAGAUUGAAGU